rnacentral:lncRNA from 1 species
GUGAAGUCCACCCAGGGGGGGUUCCCAGGAAGGCAUUGCUGAGGAGGCUAAAGGUCAAGAAUAGCAGUGCCAACCCCAGCGGGUGACCAGGGAGAGGGAUCAUUUGCAUUAAGGCACAAAGUCAACAGGAGUGGCUGCCGAGCUCACAGAGCAGGACAAGGGGGCCACAGGGGCCGCCGCUCCAUGGUAAGAAGAGGCCUGCUCAGAUGGGCAUCUGGAGAAGACCUGUCCAGCUCCAGGGUAGAAAAGGAACAGAUGGGCUCAGGCCUGGGUGCUGCCCAAGGCCAGGCUGGAGUACAACGGCGUGAUCUCGGCUUUCCACAACCUCCACCUCCCGGGAUCAAGUGAUUCCCCUGCCUCAGCCUCCUAAGUAGUAGGAAUUACAGGGGAAGCCAGCUGUCAUGUCAGGAGGUACCCGGAGCCUCUGUAUGGCUGGGAGCUAGAAGCAGCCUCAACCCAGAGUCAGUAGGAGUCGGAGGGCCUCAUUCCACCAGCUCACAGGGAACUGAAGCCCACCCACAAUUACGUAAGUGAGCUUGCACCGCAGUCAGGCUGGGGAUUCCCUCUCGGCCAAGUGUUCAGAUGAAACUGCAGCCCCAGCCACAGCUUGACUGCGUGUUGUUGGCGACCUGGGGGCAGAGGCACCAGCUCAGCUAUACCUGGAUUCCUGACUCAGAGACCAUCUGAUAAUAAAUGUUUACUAGUUUUCAACUGCUAAACGUGAGGGCAAUUUGUUAUACCGUAAUAAAUAAUACAUGUGAAGUGGAACCGUAUAAAAUUGUUAUUUAUUACGUUUUUAAAAGUUAAAUGUCAGCAAUUUCUUAUGAGUCAAACCAACUGCUCUACCCUAUGCUUAUUAUAGAACAUCCUGCAAGCUCCUUGUUCUUUAAUCUCGCUCCAAAAAUGUGGAAAUAGGCU